CUGAUGCAUUUGCCUCACAGCUGUUAAGAUCCUUUCCUUCAUCUUGACUUUAGGUCUAACCACCCAGCAGAGUAGCGGACUCCAAGCUGAAACUGGAGAAUGUCUGCAAUGAGUCUUUUGAUAUGAUCCAUCUUCAGGUCUUGCAACUGUGGAUACCAGCACCUGCUGCAGUGGAGUCAGCAAGGGAGUGAAGUGGACUCUUUGAGAGUCCUUGGUUGUAUUCUUGUUUAGUGUGCUGGUUUUGUGUUGGUUGGCCUCUAGCCAGGAAGUGGAACUUUCAAUAGCUCAUCAGCUGUGGUCCUAUAUGCAGGAUGCACAGUUGCCCUAGGGACACCUAGUUAAGUAUUCAGAUUUGUCAGGCAAUGGGCAGGGCCAUAGGGCACCCAAGAGAUUAUGACCUUUGUCUUCAGCUACCAGGGUGAGUUGAGAAAGACCCCAGGUGAACGCAGGGAUAGGUGUGUCUGAGCUCAGCCUUUUCUUGGGCAGGGCUUGCUGCUGCUGCUGUGGGUGUGGUUCCCAAAUUCAAGGGAGUUAUAUUCCCAGGAAUAUUGUGUCUCCCUCUGCUGAGUCAUAUAGGUCACCAGGGAAGUGGGGGAAAGCCAGCAGUCACAAACCUAACCCCACUCCCACACAACCUACAGUCCUAAAGGCCAUGCCCACUCCCAUGGUGCCCCAACAACAGUACCUUGUCAUCCAGUGAACAGGGCUGAGAACUUGUCCCAGACCAUGAGCCUCCCCAUUGAGAAAGCAAGCAGACUCACACUUUUUCAGCAUCUCAGGGAGCCUGCAGUAGCGAUGCAGCUCCUUCAAAACGUUGUGGAUUCUCGCGGCUUUCCUGGUAUGUUCCUGCAGUAGUUCUUGGAGAAAAAAUUCACAAUGUGAGUCUUUGCACGCUGCUCUGUUCAUCGGAGCGGAAGCUACAAGCUAGUUCUGCCUCGAUUUUCCAGGACUUCUUAUCUGUCUUCUGUUCUCACAUACUCUGCACCACACAUAGGUGACUGAAUCUAUUCUCAAGGCUCUAGGACUGCCAUUGUUUUUCUGUUCCUGGUCAUUACACCCAUUUCAGACCACACUAUUUACUUGGUUCUAUUCUGGAUCUUUUUUUGACUUUUCAAGACUCCAAAAAUCCUGCCUAGAGACACUCACCCAUUCUAGACUAUAGAUGCAAAUCUCUGCAUGGAAAAAGAACACAACUGCAAGAAAUAGAAGGAAAAAUUUAUUUUGCUAUCAUCACAACUAAGUGUUUAUUAUUAAACCAAUAUUUAAAUUUAAGUCAACUCCAUAAACAUUUUUUAAAUAUUUUCUUUAUGCUAGGCAUAACGGUAGAAAUAAAAAUAUACAUUAUCACUGCUCAAAGAGUAUGCAGUUUAAAAUGAAGAUUUGCAAGUAGAAUACUGAAUUGCUAUUUAGGCUUAUGCAUGUGGAAAAAAAAAAAAAGAAAAAGAAAGCAAUAUCUAAGGUAUCCAGGUGUAGCACCAGAGAAGCACCAAUCU
rnacentral:lncRNA from 1 species